AUUAACUUACAACAACCAACGCCAGGGAAUUACAAGCAAUGCUCAAAACCCAAAGGAUUUGACGGUGUCCCACCCACCUAGAGGAGCCUGUUCUAUAAUCGAUGAUCCCCGCUUUACCUAACCACCCCUCGCCCCCAGUCUGUAUACCUCCGUCGGAAGCUUACCAUGUGAACGUUUAUAGUAAGCUCAAUGAUCCUCAUCUACACGUCAGGUCAAGGUGCAGCUCACGGGAUGGCAAGCAAUGGGCUACAAUUUCUAAUUUAGAACAAACGGAAGACUAUGUGAAAUCAAAGUCACAAAGGCGGAUUUAGAAGUAAAAAGAAAAUAGAGUGUUCUUUUUAACCCGGCUCUGGGACGCGUACACACCGCCCGUCACCCUCUUCAAUUAUAUUUCUACCCCGUCCAUAACCCCCCCCCCCCCCAAUUCAGAAGAGGCAAGUCGUAACAUGGUAAGUGUACUGGAAAGUGCACUUGGCUUACAACAAAAUGUAGCUUAACUAAAGCCUCUCGCUUACACCGAGAAAAUAUCCGUUCAACCCUGAUCAUUUUGAGCCUAACAUCUAGCCCACACUCUCUUCACAUGACACCCAUAACCCCACGCCCUAAACCAAAACAUUUCUCCAUUUUAGUACAGGCGAUCGAAAAAUUUAUAAGCGCUUCAGAUAAAGUACCGCAAGGGAACGAUGAAAUAAAAAUGAAAUAUUUUAAAGCUACAAACAGCAGAGAC
rnacentral:rRNA from 1 species